GGGCCGUUAGCUCAGUUGGUAGAGCAGUUGACUCUUAAUCAAUAGGUCCAAGGUUCGAAUCCUUGACAGCCCACCA
rnacentral:tRNA from 3 species